rnacentral:rRNA from 1 species
UACGUAGGGCGCAAGCAUUGUCCGGAAUUAUUGGGCGUAAAGCGCGUGUAGGCGGCUUUGCAAGUCGGGUGUGAAAGCCCCCGGCUCAACUGGGGAGGGUCACGCGAUACUGCUCGACUCGAAGGCAGGAGAGGGAAGUGGAAUUCCCGGUGUAGUGGUGAAAUGCGUAGAUAUCGGGAGGAACACCAGUGGCGAAGGCGACUUCCUGGCCUGUUCUUGACGCUGAGGCGCGAAAGCUAGGGUAGCAAACGGG